GUGCACAGCUUCUCUUAGGUGGACAGGAGCCCAGCCAAAGGGCUCCAAACCAUGUGAGAGGUGCAGUUGGCUACCAGAGACAGAAUCAAAAGAAACAAUGCCUUGACAGACUGGAAUGUGGAGCUAAGAAAGGAGUGGGGUAUGCAUGCCACUCAAAGUCAGGAAUCGUCCUCUCUGACUCUUCAACCUUACUCACCAAGGUGGAUCUUGCUGAGGACUCUGCCUGUUUUUACAGUCAGGCCAGAAGGUCCACUCAAUAUUUAUGUUUCUGAAGAUCCAAAUUCUGCUUCUCACUUCUGAGUGGCAAGUGUUUUAACUACUGAGUUAUCUCCUUAGCGCUUCCUCUCAAUCUCCCCCCUCGCCACCCGCCCCCCCCCCCCCCCCCCCAAGUGUCUUGUGUACCAUACUCAGCUUCUGACUCUCUGGCUUUAUCUGCUUUGAACUACAGACUCAACUAUAAUGAACUAUAUUGUUGUCUUAUCCCCCUCAAAUCCAAUAACCCCAGGUUUGUAUAAGGCUACACUGGCCUGCUCCCAGGUUCCUUUUCUACGUCCAUGAAGCUUGUGAAUGGACCACUGAGCUCUGUCACAUGCCACUCAUAGGUUAAGUCAGGUCAGGCCACUGGGGCUGAGUCCUAGCUCAGGACUUUAUUAAUGCGGUGUGAUCAGUAUGACCUGAGCCUUUCCGAUCUUAUUCCUCAUCUGCUGAAUGGAUCUCAGAUGCCGAUCUCAUUUGGUUGGGAGAAAAGGAAGUGGCUUCCCGGCAAUGGUGGAACCCGGAAGCCGGCAGACUUUGCCAUUUCUAGCAGUGUGGUGCUAUAGAAGCACGAGGGGGUCUUGAGUCACAUUCGCAUUGGUUUUUAUAUUUCCUCUGCCUAGACUGGAACACGCUGUGGCCUGCUGUAACCUCAGAAACAUCUAGAAGUAGCAGAGGCAACCAAGGGGCCCCCGAAGCUGAAAGCAAGCAAGAGGCUUUGUUUGAGGCUAGUUGGACCCUGAAGUGGAACAUCGACUUUCCUGUAGCAAACGCCCCCAGAACCCUCUGAAAGUCAGUUUCACUUUUAACAAGACCCCAGCACAGCUGUGGGAGACAGAGGUAGCCCCCACAUAGACAGGUCUCUCUGAAUGGUGAAUCCUUGGGUGGCUGGGCUUGUUCAAAAGUCUCUUCUCCCUGUCGGCUGCCCUUCUGAUGGGCUUUUCCAGCUCUGUUCCUCAUGGGAAGGUUGAUGCUGACUUGGGCACGAUGUCAGGCUCUGUCCAUGGCUCAGAUCAGAGUCCUUGCCUCUCCAAUGUUGGAUUCAGCAACCAUGCACACUCCGUCCCUUGGAUUGUACCUAGAACUGUCACGCCUUGGUUUGUCCCUGAGCAUUCUGGGUCGUGGGUUUUGAGUUUCUGCCAUGUUUACAGCAUCAAAGCCCAAACCCUCUGCUUUUGCUCUGUAAACACUGGACUGUGUGUUCAAAGUAAAGGCGUUCACUUAGGAAAUGCAUGCCUUUUAAGAAGAUUUUGCCAAUCUAUCAAAGCUGUAUUCAGACUCCAUCUUACAUCCAGGCAGUGGUGGCGCACGCCUUUAAUCCCAGAACUUGGGAGGCAGAGGCAGGCAGAUUUCUGAGUUUGAGGCCAGCCUGGUUUACAGAGUGAGUUCCAGGACAGCCAGGGCUAUACAGAGAAAUUCUAUCUCCAAAAACAAAAAACAAAACAAAACAAACAGAAGACUCCAUCUUACUUAUGACUAUGGAUUUUAUUACAAGGCGCCUUGGACCAUCAUGUUCAAAGGAAUGAGCCAGACUUGGGAAGAUGGUGCCAGAUGUUUGUGUCCAUAUAUGGAAUCCAUAUUUUUACAAAGAAGGAAAUAUAUAACAUGAAAAUGGAAGGGGGUCUAUAGGAGACAGGAAGGAUAAUGGAGGAUGUGACAAUGAUCCAAGAACACGAUACAAACAUAAAAAUGCCACGUGGAAAUCUGUCACUUUGCACAAUGCACAUUUGAUCAUUUAUAAAAUGGGAGAAAGAUGCAGCAAUCUUGUAUAGAGCAGCACCAGUGCAGAAAAGGAGCUCCCACUUGUAACACAACAUGGGACAGGAUGGUACUUACUGUGGGAGGGAGCGGCAGUGUCCCAGAAAGCAAUCUCACAUCAGAUAUUAAAAAGCUAUAACUUAGGACCAGUGAGAUGCCUUACCAGGUACUUGCUGUGCAAGCCUGGUAGCCUGGGUUUGAUCCCCCAAACCCACAUAAAGGUGAACGGAAAGAACCAACGCUAUAAGCUUAUCUUCUGGACUCGAUGGCACACUUGCACAUACACACAUGCAUACCACCUCCCCACACACCAACAAAAAUCUAUAAUACAAACGUGGGGAAAUAUCUUUUGAAUAUCAUCCCCAGAACACAGGGAACAAAACCCAAAAUUGGCAAAUGAACUAUUUCAAACAAAUUAGCUUCGACAGACACAGUGAUGAGGCAGUCUGCCAAGAGGGAGAAAAUAACUACAUAGAAUCCAGGGAGGGAUGAAUAUCCAAAGCAGUAAGAACACAACCGACCAGCAAAUAAGCCAAGGGAAAACCAGGCCAGGCGUGGUGGUGCCAAACCUGCAUUCCCAGCACAGGGCAGGUGGAAGCAGGAGGUUCAAGGGUUUAACGUCAUCCUUGGCUACAUGAUGAGUUAGAGACCAGUCUAGGAUACACACAACUUUUGGAGAAGGGGGGAAACACCCUGUAUCCCAUAAAUUAUGAUUAUACCAAUGAAAAGUAAAAAAAAAAUUAUAAAAAGAGGCCAAUCUAUUAAAAUGUUUGCACCCAUAUGCUCAGUCAUUCCAAGGUGGAAAUCUGCUGUCAUGGGUGUAAUCUUAAGGUCAGCUCAGAAGGGAGGCAGGGGAGGGAGGCACAGAGACGUGAACAUGGGUGAGACUGAAUUGUUCUCCAAAAGGAACAGCCAGCACACCUUUAAACAUUACUGUGAAAUAUUAGAAUUAUGAAAAACAUGCACGGAGCUGGGAAAUGGCUAUGGUAUAUUUUAUGGAUACAUACACUCAAUAUGGCCAUGAUGAUGUGGAAUUUUUUAAAUAUAAGAAAUAAAAAUAUCAAGAUGUCCCUUGCUCUUUUGUUUCUAUUUCUAAGCUUCUACAAUGGCAUAAAAUAUAUAUUACUAUGAUUAAUAAUAUACAUUUUCUUUCUUUUAAGACAGGAUCUCAGGUAACCCUGGCUGGCCUUAAAAUGGCCCAUAAUAUUGAAUUUCUGAUUCUUCUGCCUCCACUGGCCCAGUGCUGAGUUUAAGGCUCUCACCACCAUGCCUGAUGUUUGUUCUGAUUAUUUUUAAAGAAACUUCAAAAUUUAAAGAUAAUUCACAAGAAGAAACAAUGUAUAUAAAAGGGGGAAAAAAAAGUGUAGGAAGCUGCUUGCCUUUCCAGAGCUCUCCUGGUGCCAGAGCCACGUGGGCUCCACCCAAAGAGCCGUGUGGCCUCCACUCACGAAACCUCCACAUCUGGUCACUGGAGCGGCAAUCCACUGCCUGGCUUUGUUUUUCCCUUUCUUCAUAGGUAGUCACUUAAUUGGAGAGUUAUUUGGUACUUGUGUUUGUAUUUGAACACACACAUGGACUAAGCGUCCCCUCCACUGUGUUAAGCAAGUAGCACGAUAGCAUUAAACUCGCCUCCCUCUGUGUGCAGCGUCAUCUCCGUCCAUCACAGAUGAGAUUCUCUUCAUUGCCUUAAGCAGAAACUCCGGACUUUAAACACUUGGUCCCCUCCUCAAAGCCCGGAAACCACUAUUCUGUUUUCUGUUCCCAUGAAUUUGACCAUUCUUCAUUCACAGAAGUUGGAGAAUUUUUGGUUGUAUGUGUGUGUGUAUUCUGCACAUUUUUGUGUGUGGGUUUGUAUGUGUGCGUGCUCAGAAGCCAAAGAAUCACCUGGGGUGUGGUUCCUCAGGAAUAUGGACCACCUUUUCCCCUUCCUACUUCCCUCCCUCCCCCCCUCUUUCUUUCUUUCUCCUUCCUUCCUUUCUUUUUCUUUUCCUUUCCCUUUUCCUUUUUGUUUUUUUUGAGACACGGUCUCUCAUAAUUUCCAACUCCUUAAACUACAAAUUCAAACUCAUCAAACACUGGCUAGUGGUUUUGAUAUCUGUUCUAUUUUUUGUUUGUUUGUUCGUUUGUUUGUUUCCAUCAAUUUGACCUCUGGGUUCCUCCUAUAAGUAGAAUCAUAUUAUAUUUGUCAAGAUCAAUUUUUAAAGUUUUCUGUAGUUAAGGAUACAGCUAAGUAGAGCACUUGCCGUAUGAAGCUGUAGGUACAACACAGAGGU
ensembl:lincRNA Gm44175 predicted gene, 44175